UUGGCUGAAAUGUCCACCAGGUAGCGCGAGUGUUUCCAGGAACGCAUAGCGGCCAUUUUGUUCCAAGACGCAGCAGAAAUUGGUUGUCGGUUGUGACGUUUUUUCACGAUGAAAAUUAAAAGGUGAUUUAGCACGUUUAACCAAUUUGCCAAAUCAUUCAACCCAGACUUGGAAGUGCCUGUACAUUGCCGAAAUGGCGUGCCUCGUGUGUCUCGCUGCCUGUUCUUAGGCGUACGUCUCAUCCCAUGCAACAGCAAAAAGUAUAACAACAACACUUCUGUAACACUGUUGGUUACCUUGUUGCAGCCAAAUGGUGAAAGGUGUGGCGAAGACAGAAUGAUCCAUUGCAUGCAGCAUGGGGUUGCAGUGUAAUCCAGAAGUUGCUGUGCUGUUGUAGCUGAGCUGUUCCAUCUCGGUUUCUGACUUAAAAAUUUUUGUGUUGUCGUUUUUGUUUUUGACUUGAAAGUUGAAAGUGUUUGAUGUGU